rfam:Myotis lucifugus cont2.28965, whole genome shotgun sequence.
GGUGGUUCUCGGGUGACACACCCCAUAAUCUGGCUCCCUCCUGUCUGAUUCCAGGUGGGUCCCCUGAGAACUCCA